ACUUCCCAUUUUUAUUAUUAAAGCCAUGUUCCAUAUCAUUUUCUUUACAUGUUACAGUUUCUGUAUUGGUUUCAGUCAGAGUUUCUCAUUUCCUUUAGAAAUAGCAAGUAAACAGGUGACGAGCAGAGAGUAGCCAUGAAGUCAUUUCUCAGCCUUGGUAUGGGGAAACCGGCCCCAUUGUUGGAAUCCCCAAAGCCUGCAAGUGGUAUCCUUCCACAUGGGGAAGAAGAUGCCCUUGCAAAUCUAUGGGUUGACAUUAUAAAAUCAGAGACUGCAUGUUGCAAGCUUAUCAGUGAAGUGAGAAAUUAUAGGGAUUCCAUCAAGGAAGUGCAAGAAGCAGAAGAAAAAUUGUUGAAAGUUUAAGAUUAGGGGCCUCGGGCCUUGGAGCAGUUUCUCCCCAACUGCAGCAAGCUAGUGAUGAGUAUCUCUCUGUUGUAAUGGA